rnacentral:rRNA from 1 species
AUUGAACGCUGGCGGCAGGCCUAACACAUGCAAGUCGAGCGGAUGAAGGGAGCUUGCUCCUGGAUUCAGCGGCGGACGGGUGAGUAAUGCCUAGGAAUCUGCCUGGUAGUGGGGGAUAACGUCCGGAAACGGGCGCUAAUACCGCAUACGUCCUGAGGGAGAAAGUGGGGGAUCUUCGGACCUCACGCUAUCAGAUGAGCCUAGGUCGGAUUAGCUAGUUGGUGGGGUAAAGGCCUACCAAGGCGACGAUCCGUAACUGGUCUGAGAGGAUGAUCAGUCACACUGGAACUGAGACACGGUCCAGACUCCUACGGGAGGCAGCAGCGGGGAAUAUUGGACAAUGGGCGAAAGCCUGAUCCAGCCAUGCCGCGUGUGUGAAGAAGGUCUUCGGAUUGUAAAGCACUUUAAGUUGGGAGGAAGGGCAGUAAGUUAAUACCUUGCUGUUUUGACGUUACCAACAGAAUGAGCACCGGCUAACUUCGUG